rnacentral:rRNA from 1 species
ACGCUCGACACCUACAGGAGGCAGCAGUGGGGAAUAUUGCGCAAUGGAGGAAACUCUGAUGCAGCGAUGCCGCGUGAGGGAAGAAGGUUUUCGGAUUGUAAACCUCUGUCUUUGGGGACGAUAAUGACGGUACCCAAGGAGGAAGCUCCGGCUAACUACGUGCCGGCAGCCGCGGUAAUCUGAGCGGGCUGGCAAGGC